CUCAGAGUGAACGCUGGCGGCGUGCUUAACACAUGCAAGUCGAACGAGAACAUGCAGUAGCAAUACUGUGAUGCUAAGUGGCGCACGGGUGAGUAAUGUAUAGGUAACAUGCCCUUAAGAGGGGGAUAACAGAGGGAAACCUCUGCUAAUACCCCAUAACCCUUCUUAUCAUAAGAUAAGUUGGCAAAGUUUUUUCGCUUAAGGAUUGGCCUGUAUAGUAUCAGCUUGUUGGUGAGGUAAUGGCUCACCAAGGCUAUGACGCUUAACUGGUCUGAGAGGAUGAUCAGUCACACUGGAACUGAGACACGGUCCAGACUCCUACGGGAGGCAGCAGUGGGGAAUAUUGCACAAUGGGGGAAACCCUGAUGCAGCAACGCCGCGUGGAGGAUGACACUUUUCGGAGCGUAAACUCCUUUUCUGUUAGAAGAUAAUGACGGUAUAACAGGAAUAAGCACCGGCUAACUCCGUGCCAGCAGCCGCGGUAAUACGGAGGGUGCAAGCGUUACUCGGAAUCACUGGGCGUAAAGAGCGUGUAGGCUGUUUAGCAAGUCAGAAGUGAAAUCCUAUAGCUCAACUAUAGAACUGCUUUUGAAACUGCUUAACUAGAGUGUGGGAGAGG
rnacentral:rRNA from 1 species